GGUGUGCCCUAUGCACGCACACAUGCACAAUACUAUUUAUGCAUGUGUUAGUGCAGCAGCGAGUGAAACCGCUGUAAAAAAGAGACGGCUGCACACGCACAAAUCCAACAUGGCCGCCACACACACACACACACAUGCGUUAUAGCGUCGAUGCGUGUGCGUGUAUGCAAUAUCUACGUUUCAUCCCUCCUUUGCAAGAAUAUAUUAAGCACAUGCGCAAGCACACGCGUCGAAGUUGUUUGGUAGCAGCUGCUUAUUCGUUUUGUGCUCUUCCUUUUUUUGGCAAGGGGGUUUUAGCCGCAUGUAGUUAAAACUUCACUGCAAACUUGAGGCUUAGCUCUAUUUCUAUACCGAAGACUUUUGCCAGACACGACUAGGAGUGCUCAUUAAACUUUUGUCUACCCAUGGCGUGGCAUUAACAACUUCAUCUGGAAUGCGUAGUGCGUCUGCAUAAAUGCUGUCGAAAAUUGUCAAAUAAAUCACUCAUAUUUAUAUAAAUGCCCCUGGUAUCCAAGCCACAACCGCAGGUCUCUUCUGUCUCUAGCCGCAACUAGUCGUCACUUGAAAAUAUGCAAAUUAAUAAGCCACUGCCCGGCCGUAUUCUCUUUGUCCACGGCUGCCAGAUAAGCGUCCCCUGCAAACGUGUUUCCGCAUAAAUUACUUAUCGCCAGCUCAAACUGGCGGCGCAGUGCUGGAGGUGACAGCAAAAACAAAACAAGCUCAACAUGGCAGGCGGUACGACAACUAUGGUGUCUGGUGUGCGUCAUGUGUGUUUCACUGCCAUGUUGAAUGGAUACUCGAUUAAAACAGCCGAAAACGUGUCUGCUCUUAUACAAGAAAUCUUACUAUAAUUUUAGGUUUUCCGAGAUAGCCUACAUAUAUAAAUAAUAAUAAUAAAUAAUAAUAAUACA